CGGGACGGGUGAGUAAUGUCUGGGAAACUGCCUGAUGGAGGGGGAUAACUACUGGAAACGGUAGCUAAUACCGCAUAACGUCGCAAGACCAAAGAAGGGGGGACCCGUUCGGGCCUCUUGCCAUCGGAUGUGCCCAGAUGGGAUUAGCUAGUAGGUGGGGUAACGGCUCACCUAGGCGACGAUCCCUAGCUGGUCUGAGAGGAUGACCAGCCACACUGGAACUGAGACACGGUCCAG
rnacentral:rRNA from 1 species